GAUGAACGCUGACAGAAUGCUUAACACAUGCAAGUCUUUGGCGAAGCUGUGCUCGCACAGCCUAGCCAAGGCGGACGGGUGAGUAACGCGUAAGGAACUUGCCCUGCAGUCAGGGAUAACAGACGGAAACGACUGAUAAGACCUGGUAAAGUCAGGCGGACUCAUGUCCAGCCUGAUGAAAAGAGAUGCUGCAGGAGAGCCUUGCGUCCUAUUAGCUUGUUGGUGGGGUAACGGCCCACCAAGGCGAUGAUAGGUAGCCGGCCUGAGAGGGUGGACGGCCACAAGGGGACUGAGAUACGGCCCUUACUCCUACGGGAGGCAGCAGUGGGGAAUAUUGGACAAUGGGGGCAACCCUGAUCCAGCAAUUCUGUGUGCACGAUGAAGGUUUUCGGAUUGUAAAGUGCUUUCAGCAGGGAAGAAAAAAAUGACGGUACCGGCAGAAGAAGCGACGGCUAAAUACGU
rnacentral:rRNA from 1 species